CCUACGGGAGGCUGCAGUAGGGAAUAUUGGUCAAUGGGUGAGAGCCUGACCCAGCCAUGCCGCGUGCAGGAAGACGGCCUUCUGGGUUGUAAACUGCUUUUAUCUGGGGAUAAAAAGGCCUUGCGAGGCACAUUGAAGGUACCAGAUGAAUAAGCACCGGCUAACUACGUGCUAGCAGCCGCGGUCAUACGUAGGGUGCAAGCGUUGACCGGGUUUAAAGGGUUCAUAGGGGGCGUAUGAAGUCAGUUAAGAAAUCCAACAGCUCAACUGUUGAGGUGCCAAUGAUACUGAUGGACUUGAGUACAGACGAGGUAGGCGGAAUUGACAGUGUAGCGGUGAAAUGCAUAGAUAUUGUCAAGAACACCGAUAGCGAAGGCAGCUUGCUAGCCUGUAACUGACGCUGAGGCACGAAAGUAUGGGGAUCAAACAGGAUUAGAUACCCCGGUAGUC
rnacentral:rRNA from 1 species